UAGAGUGAUGACAUCAUCCUCCACCCUAUGACGUUAGCUACGGGGUUCACAGCCCCUCAAAGGAGCAGGUUCUGCCCGGUUCCGCCCAGUCUGUCCCAGGAGGCCCUCGGGGUCUUCAGAGUAACAAGCGUUACACACGAGGUCCGGGGUCAGGACACAGGGACUUUCAGCAUGGCGUGCGGCCGCCCUCGGGGUACUCUGCACCCAACACUCCAGCCCCUGGGGGACUCUACACCCAGCACCCCAGCCCCUAGGGGACCCUGCACCCUCCGGCCAGACCCCAGACUCACCGCCUCCUCCUCCCUCAGUGUGCGACGACUCUGCGGACACCCAGGUGCUGACUGUGGCGCUGCUGGUGUCCCUGGGGAUGGUGCUCAUGGCCUUGGUGACCCUAUUGCUGUUGUGCAGAAGGUCCUCCCUGUGGCAGUCGCUGUGCCCCCCCAUCCCCAAGGUGAAAGGGCUGCUGACACAAGGUGAUCCCGAGGUCACAUGGGUGGAGGCAAAUCUUCCAGAAAGUCUGCAGGAGCCUGAGGAAUUCCUCCGGGUGGAAGAAGCUGCAGGGCGUCCACCAGCAACAUGAUGUCAGUGGGCCAAGGUGCUUGUUGCUAAGCCUGAGGAGCUGAGUUCCAUCCCCCGGAGCUGUCUGGAGGAGAAAACCGAGUCCCACGGUGUCCCCAGGCCUCGUCGUCCUCUUCCGUCCUCCUCCUCUUCCUCCCCCUCCCCUCCUCCACCUCCACGGGCUCCUCUUCCUGCUUCCCAUCACACACCGCGUUCCCGGUGCGCCUUUCCCACUCAGUCCCCCUCAUUCCCCACUUCCUCUUCCCUGUCACACGCUCCUGGACUCCCAUGGGAUGGACACGCAAACACACGCAAUUCACGCUCAUAACGGUAGUGCGUAUGCAAAUUUAUGUAAAUCCGUAUAGAUUUAUGCAAAUCUCCCCCUCACCCGCUGGGCAUGUGCAAAUAUAUGCAAACAUUCACGUUUACACCGGAGUCGACUCUGCUGACGUCAUGUUGACGUCAUACUCACGGCUUCGUCCCUCAGUAUGGCAGGGCAGUUGUGGGGUGCAACUCAAAACAGCACCAUCCUACCAGAGGUACUUCUGACUGGGUGGCAGGGUGCUUUUCUGGGAAUAACGCAGGUUCGAGUCCCUCCUAUCACUGUCUAGGCCCGGGUUGCACCCGGCCCCA
rnacentral:lncRNA from 1 species